rnacentral:misc_RNA from 1 species
CAUCGGAAGAAGGGGAGGAGGAUGAAGAUGGAGAGUCCAGAUCCGAGAUCGGGACCCGACCGAAUUUCGGGUCAUCGGUGCGGGCUGAAUCAUUGAAGCGGCAACCAGUUUACGGCAAUACGGCUAAGUCUGAUGAGGCGGGGUCAUCGGCGAGUUUCAGAACUGGAGAUAUCUCCGAUUUGAAGAUGGUUGUGAGGCAUAAGGAUUUGAAAGAGAUAGCGGUGGCUAUUAAGGAGAAUUUUGACAAGGCUGCAACGGCUGGAGAUCAGGUCUCGGAGAUGCUCGAGAUCAGUAGGGCUCAGCUUGAUCGAAGUUUCCGGCAAUUGAAGAAGACGGUGUA